rnacentral:rRNA from 1 species
GCGGUGGAUCAUUGUUGUUUUAAUUCGAUGAUACGCGAAGAACCUUACCAGGUCUUGACACUCCCCGCGAUGCUUUUAGAGAUAAAGCGGAGGUAGUUCGGGGAGACAGGUGGUGCAUGGUUGUCGUCAGCUCGUGUCGUGAGAUGUUGGGUUAAGUCCCGCAACGAGCGCAACCCUAUUGCUAGUUACCAUCAUUAAGUUGGGGACUCUAGCGAGACUGCCAGUGAUAAACUGGAGGAAGGUGGGGAUGACGUCAAAUCAUCAUGCCCCUUAUGACCUGGGCUACAAACGUGAUACAAUGGCUGGAACAAAGGGAUGCGAAGCAGUGAUGUGGAGCGAAACCCAUAAAAACAGUCUCAGUUCGGAUUGAAGUCUGCAACUCGACUUCAUGAAGUCGGAAUCGCUAGUAAUCGCGGAUCAGAACGCCGCGGUGAAUACGUUCUCGGGGUUU